UAAAGGAUGUGCUUUACCACUGAGCUGUGUGCCUUCCCUUAUGGUCACUGGUUCUCAUCGGUAUCUCACUUCCAGCACAAUCAAGGGCAGCUGCUGCAAGAUUAUUAUUUUUUAAAAAAAGGGUUCUCCCCUUACCAUAUUGAGGUAGAAUGUAAGAAAAAAUAUAAUUUCACAUAUUUUUUAGUUUCAGGAAAACACUGUUGCACAACCAAAGCUGUGAGUUACCUGUUCUUCCCGUGGUGCGUGGUGACAUUUUUCAUAGGGGAACAGAGGCACUAGCUUGUAAGGGCAGAAGCUUGCCAGGCUUUGGGAAGGAGGCUCCAGACUUUAAUACUUUAAUACUCUCCUUUACUGGGAAUAUUUAUGGGACUAGUCUAGUCCCCCAUGUCCACUGACCACACACCACUGCCACCUUCUUUUUUUGGUCAGCUUUAUUAUUCUCCCCCAAACAGUUGUGUGGUUCAGUUCAACAUUAGUUAAAGGUAAAGGGACCCCUAACCUUUAGGUCCAGUCGCGGACGACUCUGGGGUUGUGGUGCUCAUCUCCCCUUACUGGCCGAGGGAGCCGGCGUACAGGUCAUGUGGCCAGCAUGAGUAAGCCGCUUCUGGCAAACCAGAGCAGCACACAGAAACGCCGUUUACCUUCCCGCCGGAGCGGUACCUAUUUAUCUACUUGCACUUCAUGCUUUCGAACUGCUAGGUUGGCAGGAACAGGGACCAAGCAACGGGAGCUCACUCCAUCGCGGGGAUUCGAACCACUGACCUUCUGAUCGGCAAGCCCUAGGCUCUGUGGUUUAACCCACAGCGCCAUCUGCGUUCAAGAUUAGGUCACAGUAAACCAGGGGUGGGGAACUUAUGCUCUUCAAAUGUUGUUGGAUUACAUUAUCCCUGUCCAUUAGCUGCACUGGCUGGCUCUGAUGAGAGUUGGAGCCCAACAACAUAAUUGCAGCAAACUUAGCAUAAAGGACACAUUAAAACAUAGGUCUCAACUGCGGUACUUCUAAAUCACACAAUUGAAGUCAACUGGGGCUAUUGUAGAGUUAAGUGAUGGCAAGACAACUUUAUACAGCAACACAGUUUUGCUUCAGUGCAGGAACAGUGGUAUAGUAUGACCAGGUCAAGCAAAAUAUGUUAGCAAUAUGUUUUCAGAAACUUUUCAAAAUUGAAUCUCCAAUCUAAACAAUUUAGGCUGUCCGGUAGAUAGUGGCUCUCGGAAUAUUAGAGGUGACAUAAGGGCAAAAGCUCGCCUGCAAAACCUCUGCCCUCCAUUAAUCUUCAAAGUAUUCACAAUAAAAUAAGAAAGCAAAUCUCAUCAGACAACUUCUUCGGACUUUGUUCAUUUACUGAAAAAUGACUCAGCUGAAAGUCAAAAGCAACAGCACAGUCUAAAGAGAACUAAUAAAGUUUAUUAUGUAAACAGACAGAUAGCCAAAGAGAAGAGCUGAAUUUUGAGUAGCACCAAAUGAAAAAUUAAAACAAUUCAGGGUAAGUAAUUUGGGGCAGUGUGGUGGCUCUCUUUGGGAUUCAAAGCACCAAGUUAGACCUUUAUGAAAUAUAUUAGACUCAGCAUCAGUGUUGUCUGUGAUGUGCCAUUUUCUACUGUGCAACUGAAGGAGCAUCAAGGGCAGAAUCUCUUAGGACAGAGGUUUUCAACGUUUUUGAGUUCACAGCUUCCUUGACCAACUAAAUUCUUUCUGCAGCACUCCUGUAGGGCUCAGGAGCCCAGUUAUGUCACCCCUUGCUUGCAGAGCCGACAGCCUCUCACCCUUUUCCGAACACCCUCCCUUGUGGAGUGUUUUCUCAGCCUCUUCUCUUCGGGAAUCCUCCGGGCAGCCACUGGUGCCGCCCCUGGUCUCUGAACUGCCCACCCCCACCCCAAAGAGAGGUACCUCCUAAGACUGCCCCACUAGAGCCUAAGAAGCACUCCUGGCCAGCCCUAAAAGCACCAUUCACCUGGGGAGCUUGUAGCCAGGGCUGCCACAACAAACAGCUGUGCAAGGCUUUGGGAGGCGCUGACGCGAGAGGGCAUCGGAGGAAGGGAGGGAAGGAAAGAGGGACAGAGGCCAGUGUUGUCCACAGCACCCCUGACCAUCAUGCAAGACACCCCAGGGUACCAGGGCACACUGGUUGAAACCCACUGUCUUAAGAGAUUCUCUGUGUACAGACCAAUGAAAUGGGUCUAAAUGUGUAUGCGCUUGCACAGGCUUCCUCAACCUUGACCCUCCAGAUGUUUUGAGCGUACUAUUCCCAUCAUCCCUGACCACUGGUCCUCCUAGCUAGGGAUCAUGGGAGUUGUAGGCCAAAAAUAUCUGGAGGACUGAGGUUGAGGAAGCCUGGGCUUGCAUAUAAGUGUUCCAGCCUUCCAGCAGAAGGUAGCAAGCAGCAGAAAGAUGUAUUUUGGGAACUGUAAGGAAGAUCAAUUUCACAGUUGUCACUGGCUGACAGCCUUCCUCAACCUAGUGUCCUCCAGAUGGGGGUGGGGUGGGGAUUUCAGCCCAAGGAUUACAUUAUUUAGAGGGCAAAAUUCCAGGGGCUACUUGCCAAUGGGGAUGGGGGCCAGAGGCAAAAAAAAGUGUAUAGAACAAGCGGUGGUGACUCUUACCCACAAUAGGCUUGUGACAGGAGUGAGCAGGCAGUAAAUCACACCAUUCAAUUUGGAAUUAACUCUUCAUUAGCAGGAAUGUGAUCUUCACAGACAUGGCGGAGUGGCAGGCUGGCAUCCCUAAUGAGCGCAGCAGCUCAUCCCCAGUAGGUCUUGCCUCAUGCUGAGACUGGAAGUUCUCGUUUCCUCAUAGCCAUCUAAGUUCCCUUCUCUCCAGGGCUUUCCCCAAGCAAUCGGAACCUGCGCCUGCGUGAAGACAACCUCUCUUCCACUCUUCUCAUGCCUCUUCUGGUUCUGGGAGACAAGCGGGGAGGGGAGCUUGUCACAGCAGGAAGGGGAUACAACGUGCCUCUUUAUCAGCCUGACUCCUCUCUCCCUCUUGGCCUCUUUCCUCCCACCCUCCUGCUUCCUGUUCUUCCUCUGAUGCUUGUCUUCUGUCUGCCACAGUCUCUCCCAGCUCAGAAUGUAUGGUAGCAUUUUGAAAUCUCCCCCUCCCAAACAUUUGAGUAACACUGAUCAAGAAGAUAAACAUAAUUGAGAAUUCCUGCCAAAAGAGUCUUCCUAACACACCUUUUGCAAACCUGAUAUUUGUCCAUUAGUUAUUCCUUCCUGUCACUGCUAAUACUCAUUUUCAUCCAGAUGGAUUGAUUCAGCCCUAUGUUUGCAUGUUGCUUCACUAUACACUGCCUCAAUAGUCCGCCCGUAUCAAGAUUUGGCAUUUAUUUAUCUAUAUUCUAAGUGGUUUACAACUAUAAAACUAUAAAACGAAUUACAAAAUUCAUAUAUUUUAAAAACACACAGUAACAAUUCUCCUGGGGCAUUAAAACCUCCUUAGUUAAACUAUACCAUGAGUCAAGCCCGUCAAAAAGCAUGGCAAUUAAAAGGGUGAAAAAAGCAAUAAGAUCAGAAUUCAAUUCAUUCAGAUGAAUUCAUUCAGUUCAGAGGAAUGCUCAAUGACACGAUGAAGUCACUGAGGACGAGUGAAGUCAACUGAGAGUAAGGACAAGGCUUCCUGGAUGAAUCGGAUGUGGCUAUGCACAACAUCACUGAGAGUAAUUAAUUAAAAUUUAGGAAUGGAACAUUUUUGACGCUUUCAAAUCCAUCCCCAUUCUUAUUGUCAAAAGCAUGGGUGCUUUUUAACAUUGCCAGAAAUAUUUGUAGAAACUGCCUUUCUUUUAUCUAAUCCCCAGUAUUUAUAGAAGCUGAAAGGUGGUGAUAGAUUUAAAAACAAUGUUUUGAAGAAGACAUUGAACAAUAGCAUCAACACCACAACUGUGUGAUAAAGCUGGAGUGGCUUCAAGCCUCUUCAUUGUAUUACUUGCAAAGCAAUCAUGAAUGGAUUGUUCUUCCAUUUUAUGCAUAUUGUGAAUUCACGUCAACUUUUCUCAUUUUCUUUCUCUUUUUCAUUGCUCUACAGAUUCCCCUCCCCCGCAGCUUGAAUGGUAAUUAGUUUAUUGUUUAUCCAAUGUCAUCAGGUCCACAUUUGUGUGUGUGUGUGUGUGUGUGUGUGUGUGUGUAAAAUCCCAAAUGGAAUAGAAAAGAUAGUCAAAUUAUUAUUUCUAUAUAAAUCAUAUUUAGAAACAUCAUUUGCAUUUGAAGCACAUGAAACAUGGUACCAGUCCAAAUGCCCAGUUAGCUGAAAUUGCAUUCUUAGGUCAAUAAUAAAAAUGCAUUUCUCAUCAUGGAUUUUGUCACCGAUUUUAUUGUCUGCUCCUAUGGGCUGUUACAGAUUGGUCACCCAACAUGUUUUCUGGUUUGACCAUUUUAUGUGACUUAAACCUAAUGAAUGAGAUCCAAGGAGCAAAAGUUCUGUUCACCGAAGGACUCUUCUCACUCACAGAUGACUCCCCCCGCUUUUAAUGGAAGUUCCUUCCAUUUGUGGAACAGAGACUUUGGGUCCACCCUGUUGCCCCAUAAUCUGUGAAUGCUCGCAGUAAUUAAUGGGUGAAACUGCUAAUAAGCCAGCCUUCCCUAUUCACACCCUUGUGGCUUGCUCAGGUCUCUUGGAAGAGCUCUGACUGGCAUUGCACUGAGUAAGGAAGGCUUUGUGUAAACUGGAGAGUUCCUGUGAAUAGGAAGAGAGUCAGGGUUUUAGUCUUACACACUUCUUGUGUCUUUUUUUUUUUUUAAUGAUAUUUAUUGAAAGUUUUUUAGAAUUACAAAAGAGAACAAAGCAG
rnacentral:lncRNA from 1 species